GAGAGCUACAGUGGCAACUAACUACAAGAAUUUUUCUCACCUCCUCUCUUUUUCUCUCUCCUCUCUCAUCAUUUUUCUCUCUUACGUUCUUUCCUCCUUCUUCUUAUUCUCACCUCUAUUCUAAACCUCAACUGCAGGUCAUUAUCAAUAGAUCUACAAUGUCCUGAAUUCAUCUUUUAAUUUCUAUUCCAUUUAAUUAUUUCUCUUGUAGUUUACAUUUUGAAUCAGUAUAAAUAGAAAUUUGUCCCCAAAAAAAACUUCAUCUUAUUUCCUAAGAGUGUUACAAAGUGGUAUCAAAGCCUUCAACCCUGCGACUUACUUCCACUAUGACUAUCAAUAAAGGCACUCGGUUAAUAAUCCUUAAUGAUAGGACAACAAAGGAUGAGGAAUCGAUAAUAAAGAACAGUGAAUUACUUGAACAGUUGGCGGGUCAAAAAGGUAAAUGACAUUUGCAUAUGCAACUCUGCCUCGUGAUCAUACAAAGGUUGCGCAGUCAUUAGAUCUAAUCAUGAUGAGACUUACAACCAUUUAGAUGCAUCAACAACGUGAAACCAGAGAAGGAGGUCUGGGUAAUGGACUAUUUCUAGUUCCUAACCCUAGAAUGCCAAGACAUAUACCACAUGGAUGAGAUCCAGAGCUUGGGGCGCAACCCAAUCUAGCUUUUGAAGGGCGAGAAAAUCAACAACCAAGUUGGUAACUUCCUAUUCCUAGAUUAGAAUUUCCUUUGUUUGAUAGUACUGAUCCCAAACUAUGGGUCAGAAGGUGUGAAAAAUUCUUUAAAGUUUUCAUAUAAGUGAGGAACAAAAGGUUGACAUAGUCGUAAUGCAACUUAUUGGUACAACUGAAUCUUGGUGCCAAUCAUAUUUUUUGGAUGAAGGACUGAAUAAUUGGGAGGGUUUAGUAAAGAUCUAUGUGAUAAAUUUAAUACUGAGAGAUCUGAAGAUGUAAUAAAAAGUUUUAAUGGCCUUUGGCAGAUAGGAUUUAUGGAUGAAUUUCUAAAAAAAUUUAAAAUUAUGAAAGCUCAAAUGUUGAUCACGAACCCUGGGCUUUACAAGUCACAUUUUCUCUUUAUUUUUAUUGGUGUCCUUAAAGAUGAAACAAAGAUGAAUAUGUGUUAUUUAAGCCAAAAACCUUGAAUACUGCUAUUGAGCUAGAGAAGGUGCAAGAGAAGACUUUAGAAACUACGGCGAAGAAGGGAAAAUAGAGUAGCAGAUCAGUCAUGACUCUAGGGGUUCAGGUAGUUCACACACCCAAUACAAUUAUACCUGCAACUAGAGUUGGAUCUGGUAAACCUCCACAAACAUAUAGGGUGAGCAGAAGUGUAUGAAUAUUGGAAAGCCAACUCCCUUUGUUAGAAGUGUGGGGAAACAUACAACCUUGGUCACCAAUGCAAGUAUCAAUAACUAAAAUACAUCAUAGGCGACAUAUGUGAAGUAAUUACGGAUCUUACGGAUGGUCUUAAUGAUAUUGAAACCAAAGAAAAUAGUGAUGAUUUAGUUCAAGAGAUGGCAGAAGUAGUAUGCAUGAAUGCUUUAUCAGGUGGUACACAAAGGGGAGUACUAUUAUGGUGAAAGGCUCCUGACAUUUAUGGUAGACUCUGAGAGUACCAAUAGUUUUAUUGAUGCUUAAACUAUCAAAGAAACUAGGUUAAAGCCUACUUUCACUUUACCUAAUAGGAUAACAGUAGAUAAUGGAAAUUAUUGUACUGCACAUUUCAUUAUUUAGGCAUAACUUGGACCAUGAAAGGUAAGACCUUUAAGGAAGAUUUGGGAAUAAUCAACUUGGGUGGGUGUGAUAUAGUUUUGGGAAAUGAAUUUACGAAGAAAUACAACCCAAUCAAGUUUGACCAUGAGAAGAAUUGUGUCACUAUAGUUAAGAAUGGAGCCAAGGUAAUACUAAAAGGGAUUUCCAAGGAUAGGAAGUUAAAUCUGAUCAUGCAACUCUAUAGGGAAGUUUUUGAAGAAAGGGCAUAUAAUCAAGGCUCAUAUUUUCUUGGUACUACCAAUAUGUCUACGGGUUCAAAAGAUGUGGACCUUUACCUCAUCAAGUUGUUGCAAAGGUACAAGUCAAUGUUUGAAUAUCCUAGAACCUUAGCACCAAUCAAACUAUUGGAUCAUGUCAUUUGUAGAUGAUUUGUUAGAUGAACUUCAUGGUGCAACAGUUUUUUCAAAUAUGGAUUUGAGGGCAGUCUAUCAUCAGAUUAGAAUGAAGCUUGAGGAUGUACACAAGAAAGCAUUUCGGACUCACAUGGGCCAUUAUAAGUUCAAAGUGAUGUCAUUUGAUCUCACUAAUGCACCAGAUACCUUCCAAGUACUUAUGAACCAUAUUUCUCAACCUUACCUUAGCAAAUUAGUUCUAGUAUUCUUUGAUGACAUUUUAAUUUAUAUUUUAAAUCUUACUAACCAAUUGCAACACAUGGAAGCUGUAUUUCAGGUUCUACAGGCUCAAAGCUUACUGGACAAGAGGUCAAACAACUCAUUUGGCCAAUCUAGAGAAGAAUACUUGGGCCAUGCCAUCAUUGUGGAGGGGUGUCCACAGACCCUAAUAAGGCACAACAUAAUACGGUACCAUCAUACCCAGACUUGUAAGUCUUUCAUUUCAUACCACAACAUCUCUACUGUCCUAUUUAUUUCAAAACGUAUUAUUGACCACCCAAAAGAUUUAAAAGUCAGGUGUGAGUUCAUACUUCGAAAGCACAUGAAAAUAAAACAAUUUCUCUCUUCAAUACUUUAUCUACGGUGGUCAUCUUUUUUUGUCGAUUGUCUGCAACUCUCAAUUGGAAAUAUGAACACUUAUAAAUCAAGGAAAACACCCUUUUAUUUAGUCAUAAAAAUAGUACAAUUUAUACAUGACAGUAAAGCUUCAAACUCAAGCUUUUAUCUAUCCGUAUAAUCAACCCACAACAUGUAAAAACAAUGGGUUUCAUAGCAAGAGAGGGAAUUACAUAGAUCAUGAUCUCAUUUAACUUCUCAAACUUAAUAUCACAUGAACACAUGAAAACAUUUUGAAUUUAGGGUUCGACACCACAAUUCCUACAAGACUUUAUUAUAAAAUGGGAUUUUCAAUGCAUGUUCCUCAAUACUUUCAAAACCCAUUUUGGUAUGUACUCUUUAGAGCUUAUUUAAAAUAGUAAAUUUACGCCCAUGAGGUUUAGGAUAGCCCCACGUACCUUACAUUGUUGGAAACAUUGAGAAACCUUGACUCUUGAGGCUUGAUAUCUUAACCCUAGGUUACUUUUCUCCUCUUGAGCUUAAGGAAGAUGAACUAGGGCUUUGUGGGCAUUAAAACAUGAAUAAUGACCCUAAUUUAUUCUAUAGAUGUUUAGGGACGGUUAUGGAACAUGAAAGGACCUUAUUGCCCUUAAAAUAAUACAAAAAAUGAAGCCUUUAUGCUGCUGUACUUUAGCCAGGAGGUGCACAACCCAUGGCACAGGAAUAAAGUGGGUGACACAUGCCCCAUCACCUAGACUUUAGGUGGGAGGCGCAUGCCCCAUCACCUAGCCUAGACAGUGUCUCAUUUAAACACUCAUAACUUUUGACUCCAAACUCGGAUUAAUGAACAGUUGGUGGCGUUGGAAAGAAGACUUGAAGGGAUGUGAUUUGAUAUAUAGUAGGACAUACGAAUCUUUAUAUCCUAGGAGAAAUAGUCACUGGAAUUUGAACCAAGUAAAAUCAUCAACUAAAAGUCAAUCGAUAGGAAAGUGCUCAACUUAACUUUUGAGCUAGGAGAUUCUUAUGGGGUAUAUUCAUCUCCAAGGACACUCCCACACUAAGGAAGUGUCAUUUACACUUAUAUCUAAGUGGAAACAAUUGGGUUUGGGUCUAUAAAAGUAGGAAAGAUGGUUUAACCUUAGCCCAAAAAAGUGGGGUAUUACAUUAUCCCCCUCUUAGGAUCAUUCAUCCUCGAAUGAUUGGUAGGGAUUUGUUAAAGCUCUUAAAGUAUGGAAUAAAAAAGUAACCUCGCAUUGAACAUUUUUACUCAAAAAAUAUGCAAAGGCAUCAAACAAUAUUCAUGAUAACCCCAAGUGAAACAUGCAAGCAUAAAGUGAGAGAUAAUAAGAAUCGAUAUAGAGAUGACCUCGCACAUGAGUUCUAGGGAUCAUAAUUAUCACAUCAUAUGGUAUGAGUAUAUUUAGUGAUCAUAGGCCUGAUUUACAUUGGUACUAAUCAUGAAAUAAGAUUUUGUGGAAGAUAAGAAAUAGAAAUAUUCUCUACCUUACAAGAUACAAUGAAUAAACCUAAAACUUAGAGACACUACUCAACUAUGCCCCAAAAAACAUAUAACAUACUCCAUCAUUUCCAACUUACAAUUCUCCCAUAACACAUCUAACCAUGAGAUUUUUGAGUCCCACCGUAUAACACUUCUAUGUUCAAGCCUAACCCGGAGUAGAAAGUUGUUAACUUAAGCCACUGGACCCUGUACUCUACAUCCCAUUAAGAAAAUUACUUCACCUUAUCACUACCAUUAAACACACUCGAGUUUUAAAUCAAGGAGUACCAACCAUAUAAAACAUUGUUUUGAUUUUUCAUCAAUCACAACAUUCAAGCCUAUCAUUACUACACCCACUUCAUAAAUCUCGACCAGUAAAUUCAAUCACUCUCACAAAGAUUUUCACCACAUAUCUCUGUCCUAACUAUUUCACAUAACGAAAGUUCAUCUCCUUGUUCCCCCUUCUCCUAUAACCUUAGCUCAAGAAAUCGCAUAAAAAUUUUCACCUUCAAGAAUAUCUACUCCCCUACCUAACACAUUACUAGUCUUCCACAAUCACCAUCAUACUAACAUAUGGAGGGUCAUUAAGGGACCCGAGCAUAAGUAUCAUGAAUGGAAGAAACACUACAUAAUUAUAAACCAUAUUUGUUGAUCUACUCAAGGUUGGACAUGAGGUGAAGAUACGAUAAAAUCAUGAAGGGCUUCAUAUAUCAAGUGUCUGGAUCAUAAGUAGAGAGUCACCCUAGCAUAAGCAAAACAUAGCAUAAGUCUUUAGGACAGAACAUAGUGAGAAACAUGAGUUCUUACAUCCUGAGUCGUAUAACAUAAGUUUGGAAUUCAUGAAGUCACCGAUUGAGACAAGGACUUCUACAACUAUCUCUUCUCAUUUUCAGAGAUGAAAUAGUCAUGAGUUGGCAUGGACCUUAUCACUUUGGCUAAUCCCGACGUAAAUUGAACUGGUACUAUAUAAAAAGCAUAGUUCUCUUAGAACUAAGCAUGAUAUAAGACAUGGAUUUCUUUAUGAGUCAUGAGCAUCAUAACAUAGAGCUUGAAUACAUGAAAGACUGGAUUACUAAGAGUCAUUAUUACUUCUAGUUUGGAGGUCAGAUCAUGAACAUAAGUCCAUAGAGAACUCGAACCAUAGGCAUAGGCAUGACUUAAAUACAUGACGUAAGACAUUAGCUGAGUGACCUCUUAAAUUGAAGUAGGAUAAGUUUGCUUGAAUAGGAAUAGGUUUAUCAUGAAUCCUCUCCGCAACUUGCCACACUGAGAAAAUUCGAGAACUACCUUAAAUCACCAUCUCCCCGUUAGAUCAAAAUCACAAUCCUAAGCUUGAAGACAUAGCCUCACAUUAAAUAUACAAGUACAACACUCAGCAUAAUGGGGUAUCACCGUACACAUAAAAUCUAAACUUUCCCUGAUAAACUAUACUUUAAAGGCAUUGCUUUUCGGUAAUGCUACUCUUAACUUUCGCUAGCCUUUAUAGCCAUCACUCUGAAACUCACAUUCUCAUGAGCAUACAUAUUCACACUCCAUAUCACAUAAUGAUUCAUUCUCUACUACUCAACACACUAACAUUAGAUCUCCAAUCACAUAACUUAUGACUUAACAAAAUUUAUAAAACUAUACCAAAGGUACAUAUUGCGUACCUAUAUUUCUUCAAUUCAACUCUAAAGUAAACAAUACAAAAACGUCUCAUACUUCUCUAUACUACAAAAUUCAAGAAUGUGAGCUAGGUAAACAUGACGCUUAUACACAUCAAACCUUAUCUAACAACAUGCUACCUCGGGGUUCAACUUAUUCUUUAUAUACUUAUGCCCUCACCCACUUAAUGACUCGACCACAAUUCAUCAUUUUACCCUAGUCCUCAUGUAUAUAUAUCACAAUUAUCCACUCUUUUUCCACAAGUUUUCAACCUAGGCUAUUUCACACCUGACAUCAAGCCUGCUAAUUCAUCCCCACAAAAAAUGCAUCAUUAGUCUUAAGCUUCUAUUCUUAUCACCACAAUCCACAUGUAAAGUUCAAGCCUAUUAUAUAACCCCUAUUAUGUAACACUGAUGAAGCAUGUCACAUACUAUAAUAGUCCAUUAAAUUGGAAAAUCAACCCAACUACGUCAUUUAACCUAAAUACCGCCCACAAGUUCAUCUUUCCACAAUAUUACCACCGCAUAUUAGAAUCUACCACAUGCCUUCUCACAUGUAGUACUAGUUUACAACUACUAAAGAAAAGAAAGUCAAGGAGGUAAAGUCACAUAAUAUUGAUAAUCAAUCUUAAUCUUUUAAUAUAAUCCAUUACGAUCUUAUCAACACACCACUUUCUCACAUCAUAUUUACUUACCCAUAAAUACAUCCCCACUACCUUCAAAUUCCAUAUACACCAAUGAGUCUCUACCCAUAACUUAUUGAUUGAUCUACCCCUUCCAUUCAUAGCCUAUAAAUGAUUUAUACAACCACCAUAAAAAUCAAUUUUGAGAUCCUUCCCUAUUUUGAAUAAAUAAUAAUCAUAGCAGUCACUUCCUUUAUAGAAUACCAUACAAUCUACAAAUAUUGCAACCACAUUAGUCUAUCACUAUAAAAUGACAACCCAUCCCUCAAUCAAUGGUUAUACAACUAAAACUAGCUUAUUAAUGCAAAAGUCAUCCUUACUCUAACUUCUAAAAUUAUGACUUCAUAUAACUAACUUUGGGACAAUCUUACUACUAAUAGGUCAUGACCCUUUAACAAAUACUACUAUUUGGGUGGAAAUAUUAUUCCAAGAUUCUACUACAUCUCAUUACCCUUAAGCAUGAAAUCUACAACAAGGAUUUUUAAAAGUACUAAAUACACUUCAUACCUCAAGGUGAAAAGCACGUUUUCAUUAAGAUAGAGGUAUGCACCUGAAUAAAUACACUUUGAAGCACUAAUGGACUCUUCUUAAGUCCUUGUACUAUUUCAUAGCUCUAGAGAUAACUCAAUCAGAAAAGACCACAUCAUUAGGAAAUCUAAACUCUUGAACUCAUCUCGCCUCGAUAAUGAGAUAGAGCUAAUAAAAUUAGAGUAAAUAAGGAAUUUGGAUAACUUUAAUAUGGACAUCAUAAUGGAACGAUCUAGAGUAUGAAAGAAUAGAAAACAUCUCCUAAAUGCCUCGUAUCUUCCUUCUUAUAAGUAUGGCUUGCACACCCAUAAAAAGGUCUCUACUCAACACGGCUUCGUAGACACCCUGGGACUAUGGACUGUGAUCUAAUACCAAGUUUUUCAUGACCAGAUCCAAAGCUCUAGCAAUGACGGGCAUCCCAAACAAUCAAGGCUGAGAGACCCCUUAAUUGAAAUCAUAAGCAUAAUCCAUACAUAAAUCAAAGUACGGAAGAUAUAAUAAUAUUCAAUGGUGAUUCAUUUUUAUACAAUCUGUGUCAAGAAAAUUAUGACAAUACAAUACUCAUCUCUCGUCGAUGAAGUCUCUAAU